AAACAGCCUGCGAGAAGGAUUUUUUUGGUCAAAUAAACGACGUGGGGAGGGGAAGUCAUUUGUCUUGAAUUCCAAUCUCAAAACACCAUCAUCACAUGUAGCUUAGACCUUAAGCAGUUGCAUUUCAUGGCAUAAAGGUGACAAUGUCUUAAGUCAGAGAACAACGUUCUAGAUCCAGUUUUUCUACAUUCUGCCAAUGAAGGAACUACACCACAACCACGGAGCAUCCCCCCCCCCCCUUGGCAACUGAUGGCUGACUCAGAUAACCCUCAACAUUAAUUUUAUUUAUGUGAUUUUUUUUGGCCUUCAUACCAAUUUAGUAAAAUACAUUUUUUAUCCUAAUGAGGUUUAAUGUCAGACCUCUUGUAUCCCCUUGGUUUAUUUCAUUCCCUUCCAAAAUGGGAGAAUCUUUCCCUGUUUAGAUGAUUUCUCUGUCCUGAUAUCUUUGCAUUUCUAACACUUGUAGACUUCUGUGUUGUUCAGACCAAUAUUAAAGGAUUCAACCAGCA